AUCUCAAGUUUUUUUCAACUUCAUUUUAUUUACAUUACCUCGCGGCCCCCUCUUUCACUCGCUCGCUUCCCAUUUCUGAAUUUUCAGUCACUCUCAGGUAUCUGAAGAAUCAGCAAAAUGGUUUCCUUUGAAAUGAAGUGAGCUUUUAUGUUCCAUUUUCAGAUAUCUGGACUUGGUUCUUCGUUUAUCUUGGGAUUUUUAUUUAUUAUUAUGCAUGUUGGUAAAAUUUUGUAACUACUUUGAGGCAAUUUGGGAAUGAUUUGAUGUGCUAAUUUAUAUCAGACGUUAAAAUA